rnacentral:SRP_RNA from 1 species
CAUUGGUUCCCUUGUGACAAAGAUCCGUUAACUCCGCCAGGCCUGGAAGGGAGCAACGGUAGCGGUGACAUUGGGUGCGAGGUGUGGCUGGUGUAG